UUAGGCCUGGCUAUAGUAGAACGAGCUCGGAAAAGGCAGGUGUCCCGUAUUACCUACCUGCGGGCUGGGGAUGUGCCAACUGCUUUCUUCCAGACAAAAAUCAACUCCAGAGCGUGCAAAAACUUCAUCCACACGCUGCAGGGGUCUGCUGGUAUAGUUACUGGCCAGGAGGACAAGGAGACACUGAUCCACGAUCACUUCCACUCCUUGUUGGCCUCGACGGUGCUGCGGAGUGCCACCAUAAACUGGGCAACACUCCAACUGCCACAAAUCCAAGGUGGCGGCCUAUACAAUCCCUUCACGGAGGAAGAUGUUUGGCAAGCGAUCAAAUCCUCCCCGGCCGAGCGAUCGCCGGGACCGGACGGCUUCUCAGGGAUCUUCUAUAGAACAUGCUGGCCGAUCAUCAAAAGUGACAUCAUGGCGGCCUUCUCCCAAUUCUACAAUCUCGCUGGCAGAAAUUUUGCGAUGCUGAACACAACUUUAGUUACUCUUCUACCAAAAAAAGAUGGGGCUUCCUCUAUUAGUGACUACAGGCCAAUUAGCUUAAUCCACUCUGUCGCCAAGCUCAUCUCCAAGGUCCUUUCGAUGAGGCUGGCCACGGUCAUGCACACGCUCAUCUCUCCAGCUCAGUCGGCCUUCCUGCGUACAAAAUGCAUCCACGGUAGUUUUAUGUAUGUCCAAAAUUGUGUCAAAACACUCCACAGAAAGAAAAUGCCAGCUUUGCUACUCAAGCUAGACAUCGCCAAAGCUUUCGACAAUGUUUCCUGA
rnacentral:rRNA from 1 species